AUCCAGUUGUUUAGUCCCAAAUAGGACGAAACGCGUGUCCUGGAU
rnacentral:hammerhead_ribozyme from 1 species